GUAGGGAAUAUUGGGCAAUGGAUGCAAGUCUGACCCAGCCAUCCCGCGUGCCGGAAGAAGGCCCUCAGGGUUGUAAACGGCUUUUGACGGUGAAGAAUCGACAGGAUGCGUCCUGUUUUGACGGUAGCCGUUGAAUAAGCACCGGCUAACUCCGUGCCAGCAGCCGCGGUAAUACGGAGGGUGCGAGCGUUGUCCGGAUUUAUUGGGUUUAACGGGUGCGUAGGCUGGAAGGUCAGUCAGCGGUGAAAAGCUGUCGCUUAACGAUAGUCUUGCCGCAGAUACUUCCUUUCUUGGAUGAGGAGGAGGCCACUGGAACGGAUGGUGUAGCGGUGAAAUGCAUAGAUAUCAUCCAGAACACCGAUUGCGAAGGCAGGUGGCUGUACCUUAAUCGACGCUGAUGCACGAAAGCAUGGGGAGCAAACAGGAUUAGAAACCCGGGUAGUCC
rnacentral:rRNA from 1 species